CUACUCUCAACUGGGUCACGGGCCACACACAGUUAGGCCCACAGUUCUAACUAAGGUGGAUCCAGCAACACUCCCCUCAGCAACAUAUUUAUUUUUAAAUGUGCAAAGAAUCGACCCAUGACCUCCCAAGACCGAACCGUUUUAAUACCGCGUUGUAAACCAGUUUCUCUAAAAGCUCUACAUUUCUCAAAUACUCAAUUUUGCUGUUGAUAAUUAAGGCUCU
rnacentral:lncRNA from 1 species